ACUCCUCUGACGGGUAAACAAAGCCUUAAAAUGCAUAUGUGUAUAGAACAUUUCCUACUUAGAAUUGCACGUUCCUUCACCUCUUUCAGUAUUUGCAGAAACACGCGUUACACCUUUUAUACAGUGGACAACAAGCAAAACAACACCUACGUGUUCUGAAACGCUUCAUUUGUCUCACCACAUUUUUUUUUUCUUUUCAAAUGAUGAUAGGUUCUGAAUAGCCGGGUUUUAAAUGCAUUUCCCCUGUUAAUAAUAUAGAAAUCGUGUUAAUCUGUCACUAGAACCAUAAAAACAUCUUUUGAAAACCUGUGCAACUUCAUUUAGAGUCUUAUCAGUUUAGUGGAGGUGCGGCGCAGAAGUGUUUCAGAAUAGGGAUCAUUGUCUCGUUUUCCCCCAACCUGGCGUCCCCGCUCGGCCCCUUCCACGACUCGCAGCGAGAGAGAGAGGUCGAGGUGCGGUGGUCUUGUGGCGGAAGCCUGAAGGAGGCGGUGAAGGAGUGAAGGUGUGAAGUGUGUGGCUUCCACUUCACCAUCCUAUGAACAGCCUGCAGGAAUCUCUAUCAGCACCUGCUUCUGCAAUAUUGGCAUCUGGUUAUCAAAUAGUGCUGUCACGCUGGGCCUGACAUACUCCAUUGCAAUUGGGGAAUCAAGCUUCACCAGAAAGAGAGGCCGAGCAUCACGACCUUCAAGCCUUCAAGCCCUACAUGAGGUGUUAAGUAUUGUCAGGACAAAACAGAGGGCCUGGUACAAGAGUUUUCAUUGCAAUCAAGGAAGAGUCAAGUUGCAAUAAGAAGAGUGUGUCAAGAAUUUUAAGCAGGAGGAAGACUGGCAAGCAGUUGACGGCAGGAAGAACGCGUGAAAUUCCCUUAAGUCGUGGCAGGACCAACAGGCAACCUUCAACACCUGCAGAGGCACAAGAGUUGUGGGCAGUUUCACCAGGAAGAGUUUGCUCCUCACUGAAGUUGACACAAAGACACAAGAAUCUGCAAGUGUUGUUACUCCGAGACCCUGCUGCAAAUGUUCUCCAAUCCACUCCAGUCUGGGAAGGAAGAAUGUAGGAAGUCCUUCUCUUCUGUACUCAACAAGCACCACCACCACCACCACCACCUUCAUUCAGGCUUGGGACAAGUUUUGUACAUUCCAGCACUUCAGUAUUAAAGAAAACAAGUGCCAUGUUUAUUAUCCUGUUGUGUAUUUAUUCACUUAACAUUCACAGUAAAACAAUAAACAUUCAGUAUUC